ensembl:antisense
GAAGAAAAUGCUUGAGAAAAUAAGGAAAAAGAGAAAGCGAGAGAGACAUCCAAAGUGGCCAUGGAAUGGUGUAGCAGAUUGCUGCAGAUGGUUUCAAUAGUUCUGCUGAAUGCUCCUUGUUUGUGCCUGCAAGAGGAACUCAAGGCUUUAUGUAUGGCCAUUGCUGUGACCUAGUGUGAUGCUCUACUUUUCCACUGAACUCUGCUUGCUCUAACUGAGGACCUUAGCUAUAAUUUAGCCUUUUCUUUUUGUAAGUAACUACACAUAGUUGAGACAAAAUUAUUUUGAUGUUUAAAAAACAAUUUUAUUAACCAGGCGGUGGUGGCACACACCUUUAAUCCCAGCACUUGGGAGGCAGAGGCAGGCGGAUUUCUGAGUACGAGGCCAGCCUGCUCUACAAAGUGAGUUCCAGGACAGCCAGGGCUACACAGAGAAACCCUGUCUUGAAAACAAACAAAGAAACAAACAAACAAGCAAAAGAAAAAACAACAACAAAAACCAAUUUUAUUGAUUUUUAGCCAUUUAAAAAAAAAUUAUAGGUUCUCCUAAGGGUCACAGGCUUUUGAUCAAAAGUUUGUCUUUCUAAUGUUCUCCUAUGUGAUUACAUUAUAAAGUACAUAGAAUCAUAUUGGCUUACUCCAAAUGCCAACUAUCUGAAACGUUUUAGAACAUAUAAAUUCAGUCCCCAUGACAGUACAUUCUACUUCAUUAGUUACUAAUGUUAGAGAAUUGGGAUCUGUUCAUCUGAUCUUUCAAUUUUUUUCUGAAACAAUUGUUUCAAUAAUAUUGAUGCUGCUGGGCUGGUGAGAUGGCUC